rnacentral:rRNA from 1 species
UACGUAGGGGGCAAGCGUUGUCCGGUUUUAUUGGGCGUAAAGAGCGUGUAGGCGGCCAUACAGGUCAGCUGUGAAAACUCGAGGCUCAACCUCGAGACGUCGGUUGAAACCGUAUGGCUAGAGUCCGGAAGAGGAGAGUGGAAUUCCCGGUGUAGCGGUGAAAUGCGCAGAUAUCGGGAAGAACACCCGUGGCGAAGGCGGCUCUCUGGGACGGUACUGACGCUGAGACGCGAAAGCGUGGGGAGCGAACAGG